AAUAUUGGACAAUGGGGGCAACCCUGAUCCAGUCAUGCCGCGUGUGUGAAGAAGGUCUUCGGUUUGUAAAGCACUUCAAGUGGGGAGGAAGGGCCUUAGGCAAAUACCCUGAAGUUUUGACGUUACCAACAGAAUAAGUACCGGCUAACUCUGUGUCAGCAGCCGCGGUAAUACAUAGGGUGCAAGCGUUAAUCGGAAUUACUGGCCGUAAAGCGCGCGUAGGUGGUUCAGUAAGAUGGGUGUGAAAUCCCCGGGCUUAACCUGGGAACUGCUUUCAUAACUGCUGAGCUAGAGUACGGUAGAGGGUAGUGGAAUUUCCUGUGUAGCGGUGAAAUGCGUAGAUAUAGGAAGGAACACCAGUGGCGAAGGCGACUACCUGGACUGAUACUGACACUGAGGUGCGAAAGCGUGGGGAGCAAACA
rnacentral:rRNA from 1 species